UAUAUCUCUAAAUUGACCUUUACACAUCAGAGAAAUACCAGAAUGCAGGGAGAAAGAAGGAUCUGGAUUUCACAUUGGCUUCAGGUGCACUUGCUUCCUUCUCAUUUAUCCUUUUUUUUUUCACCUGGUCAGUUCUGCUGCAGACAUGAAAAUUAUCUGUGACAUAAAGAGAAAGGAAGAAUUUGCUUUUAUAGCUCUUGAUUAUCAAUACGAUCUUGAAGCUGCCAACACCAAUUCCUCCUUAAACUUGAUACUUUCUAUAAAGAAAAUUAACGAUAAGUCAAUUGUUGGAUACAUGAUAUUAAUAUUCUCUAUGCAAUUGGCUGUGUUACUUUUUUAUAAUCUAUUCUAUAUAAGUGUUUUAGUAUCUAUUUUAGGUUCUGAGGUAUCGAAAGGUCAAUUUUUCUUUGAAGUAGACAAGUGUCUAUAAUGUUAAAAUGGAUCAAAAUAUCAAGAUGCAAUCCACCAACUGUGCAGGUAAUUUCCUCAAAUUCUUAUCAAGUAUUUGUUCCCAUCAGAUGUAAUUAGUGUUUUAAUGUUAAUCUUCAGAAAGAAUUCUCUUCUUUGCAAUGGAUAAGAGUUUUAAAAAAUUUAAGACUCUUCUAAGAGACGACAAAGAAACCUAUAUCAAUGUACCAAAGAAAGACCUACAACAAGAAUAGAAGUCCAAGCUUUCACAUCCUAAAUUAAACAAAUUAUUUCAUAUAUAUUACAGACUGUCCUUUUUAUUUACUGAUAAGACACAAAUAGCACAAAUGACAGGAACAGAAAAGGUCCUAGCUAAAAAAAGAAUGAGCAAAAAAUUUAUCUCCAUUUUAAUUGUUGGGCCCGUGCUAAGCGAGAUUAAGAAAUAUCUAGUUUAAGAUAUAUUAGGUGAAAAAGCAAAAAAUACGCCUGUCUCGUACACAGAUUUUUAAUAUGUUGUUAGCGUGCUUGUUUGUGCUAUUCACUACCCCUCAUUUGAUUUAUUUUCUCUAUAUGUUUUACUUGCCACGUGCUUAUAUUUUACUUACUGGAAAAUGAACUUUAUGUGAUUAGCAAGUGUGGUAACGGCACACCUCUAGGUGGAGUACCUUUUUACUCACAACUUUUUUUUCCUUUUGCGAGAUGCUACUCAAGAGGUUGUUGUCUGGAGAAAUCAAGUUGUUUCGUGAUUUGAGAAUCUGUCUUGAGCUUGGAUACUCGGCUUUCUCUAUCUAGUUCGCGCGUCAAAGAUGGUAUUUCGUAAAUGUACCAUAAUCUGCAGAUUAUCACAAAGGCAACUACUGGUCUGCACUACAGUCAUAUUUAUGCAUUGGAGGAAAGAUAUCAAGAAGUAUUAUGGGAAAAAUCACAGUCUCAGUCUGAUAUUGAUCAAUGUGAAGCAUAUUACGAAGCUGCUGGGGGAACAAGGAAGAGAAGAAUAUAUGGUCUUGGAUCUCAAGCACAAAAUUAUGCACUAACAAUACUUGAUGUAUGUGUGGGUUCUUUUGGUAGUUGAUAGCUUGGUGUUGUCGGUGUUUUGGACUUAACGAUUAGG